rnacentral:lncRNA from 1 species
CAGUAAUCGGGUCUGGUUCUUUACAAACAGGUACGAUUUGAGUUUUCAUUCUCAAAGCAAAAAGUUGGAGCUUUUUAGCUGCCAUCUGAGGAUACUUUUCAUUACACAAAUGGCCUUCUCGAGUGGCUUAAAUUGAUGUGUCCAUUCUCUGCUUAUGUACAAAAACCAACAUAGGCUUUUGUCCAUCUGUCGGAUACUUUUUCUUGUAGCACAAAAUGGCUGAGUGGCUAAUAUUGGAAUGGUUUCCAUCUUGGUUCAUUGCACAGAAAAGACGCAAACACUAGCUUUUUAGUCCAUGGCUGGAUCGGAUACUAUCUUUAUACACAAUGGAAUCGAGUGCUUAACAUUGAAUGUGUCCAUUCUCUGUGUAUGCCACAAAGAAGACCGAACAUAGCGCUUUAGUCAUUCUGAUUGGAUUACUUUUAUUAUACACCAAAUGGCCCGAAGUUUUGAUUCUUUAGCUUUUACUAAUUUUUUCUUUUUUGUAAGGUUGCAAUAAUUUUAAGAAUGCAACAUAUUGACGAUAUUUUUGAUAUUUUUUUUAAAUUAUUUUUUAUUAUAAACUAAACUUUUAUUUACUGUUUAUUUUGAUACAGCGAUGGGGGUGAUUUGAGGGAAAGUGGUGGGGGGUGGGGGGGGGGGGGUGGGGGGGGGGGGGGGGGGGGGGGGUUGAAUGGGUUGUUUUUCUAUGGCUUGAAUGGUUCGUUAAGCAUAUAUAUCGCACUUUUGAAUUAAUGGGUUUGACAUUUUUAUAUUUUAUGUAGUUGGGGGUGUAUUUAACUAUGGGUGUAUGUUGUUACUUUUUAUGAUACCUAAUAUUUAGCACUAAAUAUGCUGUAAGCUAACAUUCAUUUAUUUAAAUAUGCCUUCGCAAUAUUACUUAGCUAACUUUUCAAUAUUGAAAAUUUCUAAUUUGAUAUGAUUUUGUUACAUUAUAGUAAAAUUGAAUGUCGAUCAUUGGUUGUUUGCUUGAGAAAAUAUGCAGAAUUAAGGUAAAAAAAUUAUUUUUUAUACAUAAUUUUGAUUUUAAUUUUAUAUGAUUGAUUGGAUAGUUCAAUUCGCUAUUUGCUUAUAUAAUUUAUUCUUUUAACUGCGUAGAUGAAAAAGAGCAAUAUGGAGAUCGAAGGCGAAAGGAAAGAUAUUCAAGGUUGCAACAAAAAUACAAAAGGAGACAUUCAUUACAAGGUUAGAUAUCCAACUCAAAUUAUUAUAUUUUAUAUUAUAAUAUCACAUUUCUUGCAAUUAUUUUGUAUUUUGAACUAUUGGACAUGUUGCAUCAAAUUGUAGGUAAUGUUCUAUAAAAAUUAAACUAUUGAUUAUAUAAUAUCGAGAAUUUCAAUCCGCUCGUUUAGAGCUCGAGCUCGGCUCGACUCGAAAUUAGGCUCGCUCGAGCUCGGCUCGAAUUAAUUUCAAGCCGAGCUUGAGCCUAGAUUUAAGCUCGAAAUUAAUUUCAAGCCGAAUUUGAGCCGACAUAAGCUCGCUCGAGCUCGGCUCGUUUCCACCCCUAGUUUGGCGUCCAAGAGAAUUCGAGGUGGCGAUAACUUGUCGGUGACUGCACCGCACGAGUCGAAGUGGCGAAUCGGGGAUACAACAACCAUUCUGGUCCGUGCAUAAAAAAAUCUAUACAAUAUACGUGUGUGUGUAUAUAUAUAUAAAACUAAAUUUAGAAUAUAUAUACUUAGAAAUAAAUCAAAUUUAUAAAUAAUUGACUACAAUUUUGAUGUUCAAAAAAGUAUGUAGUGCUUAGUUUUUCUUAUUAUUGGAAGUUGGUAAAAUACUAUAGCAUUCUAUAUGUAAUGUGCACUUCACCGGACGGACGCACCUUUGCGACGUCGGCGAGGGUGGCAGGGAGGGGGCAGAGCGUGCGCAGAUGCGCGGCGUAGGUGGCGUCCAUCGCCGGAUCCUGCUCCGCCGUCGCGGAGAAGUUGUACAGCCUAUUGCUGAACGCGACGCAGUGGGCCCCGCCGACGGAGUGGGCCCCGGCGAGCACCACCAU